rnacentral:lncRNA from 1 species
CCAUUUUUCAUCUUUAAAACCUUUGUCUUAGUUACAGGAGCUAGAAGCUCAUUUGAGAAAAAAGAGAAAGAAGAUUCUUACACAAUCUGUUGAUUUCAGCCCUGUGGUCUCUUAAGAACACCAAUUAAUAUUCUGAGAUUCAGUAGGAACUCUCAAGAGUUGGCAAUCCAGUAUCUGGCAACGUAACAGGAAAAGGAAGAAGAAUCUAAUGAGGAAAAUGAGAUUAAGACCAGAAAUUGUAUCCUACAGACCAACACUUGGACCAAAGAUUGAGAAGCAAUGUGAGAGAUUAUAGGGGGAGACUUCACAACGUAAUGACAAGUAAACUUGCCACACUCAACAAAAUAAAAUCCUCCUCAGGGGUUCUUCACAUGCAUAUGAUCAGGUGGCCCUCUGGCUCAGAGAGCUGAACCAAAUGGAGCCUGCUUCCAUGUCAAAGUCGGUUUCUAUGUGUUGUGCUGGGAACUGGAUGCAAAGCUAUUGUUCAAGCCAGAGACAGUAUCUGACAAUUGUUCUGUUGGUACUGAAGUGUUCCAGAGCAGGGACAAGAAGAGGAAAAUGAGAGUGGGGAUACCAGAAAAGCAAAUACUGACAGUGAUGUUGCCUGAAAAUUUUUUUGAAGAAAGGAUUAACUUAACAGCCGAUGAAUUUAUUGUCUCAGCAUUUCACAAGCUAGGUAUGUAUUUAAUACAGUAACACAGUUCAAACACAGUUCUGAGUUCACUAUGCUACGCUGAAUUCAUU